AUUGAACGCUGGCGGCAGGCCUAACACAUGCAAGUCGAGCGGUAGAGAGAAGCUUGCUUCUCUUGAGAGCGGCGGACGGGUGAGUAAUGCCUAGGAAUCUGCCUGGUAGUGGGGGAUAACGUUCGGAAACGGACGCUAAUACCGCAUACGUCCUACGGGAGAAAGCAGGGGACCUUCGGGCCUUGCGCUAUAAGAUGAGCCUAGGUCGGAUUAGCUAGUUGGUGAGGUAAUGGCUCACCAAGGCGACGAUCCGUAACUGGUCUGAGAGGAUGAUCAGUCACACUGGAACUGAGACACGGUCCAGACUCCUACGGGAGGCAGCAGUGGGGAAUAUUGGACAAUGGGCGAAAGCCUGAUCCAGCCAGGCCGCGUGUGUGAAGAAGGUCUUCGGAUUGUAAAGCACUUUAAGUUGGGAGGAAGGGUUGUAGAUUAAUACUCUGCAAUUUUGACGUUACCGACAGAAUAAGCACCGGCUAACUCUGUGCCAGCAGCCGCCGUAA
rnacentral:rRNA from 1 species